UACGCAGGGGGCAAGCGUUGUCCGGAUUUAUUGGGCGUAAAGAGCGUGUAGGCGGUUUGGUAGGUCCGCUGUGAAAACUCGAGGCUCAACCUCGAGACGCCGGUGGAAACCAUCAGACUAGAGUCCGGAAGAGGAGAGUGGAAUUCCUGGUGUAGCGGUGAAAUGCGCAGAUAUCAGGAAGGACACCCGUGGCUAAGGCGGCUCUCUAGUACGGUACUGACGCUGAGACGCGAAAGCGUGGGGAGCGAACAGG
rnacentral:rRNA from 1 species